ACGUAGGGGGCGAGCGUUGUCCGGAUUUAUUGGGCGUAAAGAGCUCGUAGGCGGUUUGGCAAGUCGGGUGUGAAAACUCCGGGCUCAACUCGGAGACGCCACUCGAUACUGCCAUGACUCGAGUCCGGUAGGGGAGUGCGGAAUUCCUGGUGUAGCGGUGAAAUGCGCAGAUAUCAGGAGGAACACCGGUGGCGAAGGCGGCACUCUGGGCCGGUACUGACGCUGAGGAGCGAAAGCGUGGGGAGCGAACAGGA
rnacentral:rRNA from 1 species